AUGCGGUUUUAUAAAAUUAUGAGAAUGAAUAAAUUUACACACCAAACUGACAACAGAAUACACACCAAACUAAUACUCAGUUUAGUACAGAAAUUCUCUUUUCAUGCACUGACGAUAUUUUCUUCUCUAUGUACCAGAGAACAAAGAACAAAAAUACACACCGAACUGACGAUACAAUACACAUUGAAGAAAAGGGAAUUUCUUCUCUUUGGACUAAGGAUAGAAUACAUACCGAACGAACACGAGAACAAUGUCUAUUUGUGUUUUUGCUUUUUUCAUGAAUUGACGAUAUUUUACAAAAAAAAUCAUGUACUGACAACUCUUCUUCAGCUUAGUGCACAAUGUUCAGUAUUCUUUUGUCAGGUUAUUUCAUGGAAUGCAGUACAAGAAAUCAAUGGCAAUAAUCAGAGUUCAGUUUUCAGUGGCAAUAUGUGUAGUAAGUGA
rnacentral:rRNA from 1 species